rnacentral:sRNA from 1 species
AAAAAUAAAAUAAAAUAAAU